rnacentral:rRNA from 1 species
AUUGAACGCUAGCGGCAGGCUUAACACAUGCAAGUCGAGCGAGCGGCGGACGGGUGAGUAAUGUCUCGGAACCUGCCUAGUAGCGGGGGAUAACUACUGGAAACGGUGGCUAAUACCGCAUACCAUCGGAUGUGCCCAGAUGGGAUUAGCUAGUAGGUGGGGUAAUGGCUCACCUAGGCGACGAUCCCUAGCUGGUCUGAGAGGACGACCAGCCACACUGGAACUGAGACACGGUCCAGACUACUACGGGAGGCAGCAGUGGGGAAUAUUGCACAAUGGGCGCAAGCCUGAUGCAGCCAUGCCGCGUGUAUGAAGAAGGCCUUCGGGUUGUAAAGUACUUUCAGCGGGGAGGCGUUACCAGCAGAAGAAGCACCGGCUAACUCCGUGCCAGCAGCCGCGGUAAUAC